GACAGGCAGAGCUGUUACUGGGCUCUGGGUUAACCAUUUUUGGGCUUGGAUGGCCACCGUAGUGGAGGAGCAGCGGCUCCCCCUCCCCUCUGUGUUGUGCUAGAAAUGCUAGUUAGCUCAGUAUAAAAGCAUGGAUAGCAUGCUGCUGUGUUGAGCUCGUGGUUUCCUUUGUUGCUGGGUCGUGUUACUGCAGGACUUGCUGCUGGGUGGUUUCCUAAGGUACGUGUCUUUUGUGCAGUGGGGUUUUUGUUGAUUUUGAUCCACUCUAAAAUAACACAAACGCCUUGAUAUACAGGGGUGGUCUGCCGGAAAACGGGUGUGAAUGCGGUUAGCGGUUAGCCGUUAGCAUCAGCCGGCUCUGAGCAUCGUCGCAUAAAACUGCAGCUUGGUGUGGAUUUGGAGCUGUAUUGGAUGUAAGGUGUAUGCUCUGGCGUGCCGGAAAACGGGUGUGAACGCGGUUAGCGGUUAGCCGUUAGCAUCAGCUAACUCUGGGCAUCGUCGCAUAAAACUGCAGCUUGGUGUGGAUGUGGAGCUGUAUUGGAUGCAAGGUAGGCAUUUGGGGUGCAGCAACGCUUAUCUAGGUGGGGUUUUAACCAUAUGGCUGAUAUUUAUGGUAAAUGCCUCUUAUUUAGGUGUAUGCUCUGGCGUGCCGGAAAACAGGUGUGUUUUGACCGUAACAACGUAAGGUAGGAGUUUUUUUUAGUAUUUUCCGGUUGGAGGGAAUUUUAGGCUUUGUUUAAAUAUAUUUGGGAUUUCAUUUGUAGAUUGGAGCAGGAACCCUGGGUGUAUUCUAGCCCAAGCAAGUGAUAAUUCAAGCCUACAGGUAUUGUUUGCUUGAUAGUUAUAGAGCUAACUCUCCCAAGCUAUCUGUCUAGUGCAAUUAUUUUAAUUAAUGUGUUUUUAUCAGGUGUUCAGCUGAAGUGUCGCCAUCGGAGAAGGCUGAGGUGGCACCAAGCCGAGCAGUCCCUAGUCUUCUGCUGUUUUGCCUAUGCUGUUUUGUUGGGGUUGAAUUAAUUUAAGAUUUAUUCAUUUAUUUUGUUCUUUUUUUAUUUCUGGGUGUUUAUUAUUUGUAUUAAAAAGACUGUUUUGUUUUCUUUUCUUUUUUUCCUUUUUUUUUGUUUCUGUUGGAAAUUGAUUUUGUUAUUUGUAUUUUUGUUAACUUGACCCCACCUUGUGUCAAUGGUGGCAGACCUCUUUGGGCCCUCCUAUAGGAAGCUGGCUGUUUAUUUGUUAGUGAUACUGGCCGUAAACUAAAUGGAAAAUUAAUAAGUAUAACAUUUAUUGUUACUAAUCUGUUUCUCUUUCUUGUAGAACAACUUGGUGCACGUGGUGUCCCCCUUGGGCCGACUGGUUACCUCCUCCUUGGGAAAUCUUUCCUUUUGCACUUGGUUUGCUGUGUUGGACUCACCCUUGGUUUGAGGUGUUGCGACGUGUGUGGGUGUGUGUGAGUACUCUGUGUGUGCUUGUAGAGGUUGUAUUUCUCCUUGGGAGGGAGGGCCCGGGCACAAGAAUUGUCCAGCACCAGUUAGCUACAGAAAGAUGAUAAUGCUAUGUUAAGACCCUAAACAGCCAGUAUCUCUAAUAUCCUUUUUUUUUAAGCGCAUUUUGUCCCAAGGCUCAGUGUAUACUUUUAAAGUUGUUUUUUUUUUUUAAAAAAAACUUUAAUUGCUUAAUAAAGUGUUUAUGUAUUUCCUGUAUCUACUAUUUCAAACUUGAAUAAGUAAAGAUUUUAUGCUGAACCUCA